rnacentral:rRNA from 1 species
UCAUUCGGAUCGGAGUCUGCAACCCGACUCCGUGAAGCUGGAUUCGCUAGUAAUCGCGCAUCAGCCAUGGCGCGGUGAAUACGUUCCCGGGCCUUGUACACACCGCCCGUCAAGCCAUGGGAGCCGGGAGCGCUUGAAGUGCGUCGCCGCGAGGCGCGCCCUAGAGCGAGACCGGUGACUGGGGCUAAGUCGUAACAAGGUACC